CAUUAGGCUCUGACACACUCAUAAGUAUCAAGCAAUAUCAUACUCGACCUUAUGGUUGUUAGAGAUAAUGCUAAUUAGAUUAGGAUUAGAUUAUUUGAUAUUAUCCAUUAUUAUAUUCGGUUAUGAUUAAAAUAUAUUCGGUUAUUAUUUAAAUGAUGGUUAAGAUGAAAUCUAAUUAGAGUAGGAUUAUAUGUAAUUAGUUAUAAAUAGAUAGGUUGGGAUUAUUUGGUUAAUGAAGCUGGGAGUCGCCAUAAUUAAUUAGCGCUCGCCAAAGGUUGCAUAUGGUGAUGAGUUAUGUUCUUCAAUAAAGUUAUUUUGUUUUUCUUCCAUGACAACGUACCAGAUUUUUUGAUUUGUCUUCUUCCUCUCUCGUUUUUUUCUAUUUUACUUUUUGUGGAGAUCUCUCUAUACCAUAACAAGUAUAUAGAACGUAUUUGUUAGUGGCCCAUCACCGUAACAAGUGGUAUCAGAGCCUAGAUUUCGAGAGGAGAAGGUGUUGAUAGCGUUUAACAGCGCUAAUGGAGUUGCACAAGGAUUCCCAAUUUUCAAGGGGGACAAUUAUGAUUUUUGGUGCGUGAAGAUGCGGACGUUACUGCGAUCCCAAGAUUUAUGGGAUUUUGUCGAAAAAGGAUGCAAGGAAACAACCGGAGAGAAUCUGAAAAAGAUGCAAAGGCGUUUUUUUUUAUUCAGCAAUCAGUUGACGAUUCUAUAUUUUCUCACAUUGCCGGUGCUACUAAAUCAAAGGAAGUAUGGGAUAUAUUACAGAAGGAAUACCAAGGUAAUGAAAAGGUACUUAGAGUUAAAAUUCAAAUUUUAAAAAGAAGAUUUGAAACUUCUUUUAUGCAAGAAAAUGAAAAUAUUCAUACUUUUUAUUCUAAAGUUAUGGAAUUAGUUAUCUUGAUGCGUACAUAUGGUGAACAGAUUACUGAUCAAACAGUAGUCGAAAAAAUUUUAAGAAGUCUAACGAAAAAAUAUGGUGAUGUUGUUUCUGCUAUAGAAGAGGCAAAAGAUUUAUCUAAAUUAUCUUGUAGCGAACUUCUUGGUUCUCUUUUAGUACAUGAAGAACGAAAAGAUAGAACUGAAAAUUUUUCUGAGCAUGCUUUUCAAAGUGAAUCGAAAAGCGAUGAAAAAGAUGGUGCCGAUUCUUCUAAUUAUCAAGCUUUAGCAUACGGUGGCUAUAGUAGAGGCCGUGGUCGUGGCCUAGGCAGAGACCGCGGAGGUAGAUCGGGUGAUUUCAACAACAGAAACGAUGAAAGAUCGGGUAAUCAAAAUCAGAGAACCUACGGAGGUAACGAUGAAUCUCGUAAUCGUAAAAAUAUUCAAUGCUAUUAUUGUAAAAAAUUUGGCCAUAUCGAGCGCUUUUGUCGAUUGAAACAACAAAAUGUGAAUUUUGUUUGUGAAAAGAAUGAAAACGAUAAUGUACUUUUUACAUGUCGUUCAUUAGAAAAAAUUACUAACAAUAUUUGGUAUGUCGAUAGUGGUUGUAGCAGUCACAUGACAGGAAAAGAAGAGAACUUUAUUAAUUUGGACAAAUCAGUUAAAGGCCGGGUGACGAUAGGUGACGGUUAUGUCCAUGACGUGCACGGAAGAGGUACAAUUGCGGUAAAUAUUUCUGGAAUGCAAAAAAUAAAUAAUGUCUUAUAUGUUUCAGGAUUAAAUUCCAAUCUUUUUAGUGUGGGUCAAUUUUUGAAAGAAGGUCAUUCGCUUAUUUUUGAAGAUUCUAAGUGCACAAUUUAUGAAGAUAAAGAUAAAAAGAAUUUGCUUUUUGAAGUUCCAAUGACAGAAAAUAAAAUUUUUCCUGUUCAUGUUGCAAUGAAAGUAGUGCUAGAUGAUGAUUGGUUAUGGCACUAUCGAUAUGGUCAUUUGAGUUUUAAGGGACUUGAUCUAUUACAUAAAAAGAAUAUGGUUGAUGGUUUGCCUUUGGUGCAUAAUAAUAAUUCUGUAUGUGAAAGUUGUGUGCUAGGAAAGCAUCACAGGAACUCUUUUCCGAGAAAGAGCAAUAGGAGAGCCAAAGAACCAUUAGAAUUAAUACAUGCAGAUGUAUGCGGACCGAUGUAGACACCGUCGCUCAGCAUCAAUUACUACUUUGUAGUUUUCGUGGAUGAUUAUAGCCGGAUGACUUGGGUUUAUUUUAUCAAAAAUAAAUCCCAAGCUUUUGAUGUUUUUCAGAAAUUUAAAAAUUUGAUUGAGAACGAAUCUGGUUAUUAUAUUAGCACCCUUUGUACAGAUUGAGGGGAAGAAUUUAUUUCUAACAAGUUUGAAAAUUUUUGUAAGGCUAAUGGUAUCCACAGACAGUUGACAACCAGUUACACACCUCAGCAGAACGGAAUUGCAGAGCGCAAAAAUCGAAGUUUAGUGGGGAUGGCAAAAAGCAUGUUGAAAGCGAAAAAUCUCCCGAACAAAUUUUGGGCAGAAGCGGUAUCUACUGCAGCAUACAUUCUCAAUAGAAGUACAACUUUAGCGCUGGAGAAUAUUACACCUUAUGAAGUAUGGACGGGGUGGAAACCGAAGGUAAAACACUUUAAAAUUUUUGGAUCAGCUUCUUUUGUUCAUACCCCAUCACAAAAUAGGCAAAAAUUGGAUGAUAAUAGUCAGAAGUGUAUUUUUGUUGGAUAUAGUGAAAGAAGUAAAGCUUAUCGAUUUUAUAAUCCUACUACUAACUCUUUAAUUAUAAGUCGUGAUGCUAUAUUUGAUGAACAAAAAGCUUGGGAUUGGAGCGCAAAAGUGCAGGAUAAUCCACUUUUGAUAUUCGAAAAUGAAACUGCAACUGAAAAUAGAAACAAUGGCGAAAACACGACAAGCACAGAAACAACACCACAAGCUUCACCAUGAAUUUCACCAGAAACUUCUCCAGAGACAACGCCAAGAAAAGUAAGAUCACUUAGUGAAAUAUAUGAACAGUGCAUGUAUUCACAAUGUGGAGAAUCACAAAACUGCGAAAAGGUGGCAAAAUCUAAUGAUUGGUAUAAGGCGACGAACAAAGAAAAUGCAGCGUUAAGGAAAAAUAAUAUCUACGAGUUUGAUGAAUCGCCUAUAGAUAAAGAAGUUAUUGGAUUUAAGUUGAUAUAUAAGGCGAAAAUGAUAUUGAGAGAUUUGAAAGGAACAAGAGACCACCGGUUGUGGUAUACUAAUCCUAACGAUUUUUAUUUUGGUUAUUUUAAUAGUGGUUGGACAGAUUCAGUUGAUGAUCGAAAAAGUACGAGAAGGGUUCGAGUUGAUACACUAAGCAACCGAGGAGCAGAUGGCGGAUAUUUUCAUAAAGUCGCUAACAUUGGAGAAAUUCAUAUUUUGCCGAGAAAAGAUCGGUGUGAAGGACAUUAGCAUUAUGGGGGAGUGUUAGAGAUAAUGCUAAUUAGAUUAGGAUUAGAUUAUUUGAUAUUAUCCAUUAUUAUAUUCAGUUAUGGUUAAGAUAUAUUCGGUUAUUAUUUAAAUGAUGGUUAAGAUGAAAUCUAAUUAGAGUAGGAUUCUAUGUAAUUAGUUAUAAAUAGAUAGGUUGGGAUUAUUUGGUUAAUGAAGUCGGGAGUCGCCAUAAUUAAUUAGCGCUCGCCGAAGGUUGCAUAUGGUGAUGAGUUUUUUUCUUCAAUAAAGUUAUUUUGUUUUGCUUCCAUGACAACGUACCAGAUUCUUUGAUUUGUCUUCUUCCCCUCUCGUUUUUUCUAUUUUACUUUUUGUGGAGAUCUCUAUAUACCAUAACAAGUAUAUAGAACGUAUUUGUUGGUGGCCCAUCACCGUAACAAUGGUGAGCUGUGCUCCACCCACAUGAUCGAUUCUACAAAU
rnacentral:lncRNA from 1 species